AUGCUAGUAGACACUCUUAAAACUAGACUUAGCUGCAGUCACAUUAGCUUAGAUAAUGGGAGAAUUUUUCUUCAUUGAAAAUGCUCCCUGUCGCUUAAGAAGAACUCACUGAGGCAGCCUGCCAUCUAGCUUUCUCACAGCAAAACAGGCUUGCAGACUGCAGAUGAGAGACUCAGGAGCAGAGACAAUUUUAACUUAGCCAGCCCUAAUUUAUCUCAAGCUUUUUCAAUUCAUCUUCACUGCUCUAUGCUCACUGGAACACCAGAUUGUCAUCCCUUGGGAACAGAAUGCAACCAGGGAUCUAGAGAGCUGUCACAUCACAAGAAAUAUUUAAAUUGUGCUGAUUUUCUUCUGGAGUACUGAGCAGAGGGAAUGAAACUCUCCAUCAAGUCAUAGCUUUGCGGGCAAUAGAUCAGAGGAUACUGCCAGUUUUCUAAUGGAUUAUUGUUAUCGGGCAGGUUCUUCCUGAAGGUAUGCAGUUGCUCUCAAUUCAUUACCCAGGCUGUUUAUAAGACUUUGGCUAGCACAGCAGCUGCAUCUUGGGUUUCAGCCUGCAACCUCAACAUGACAUUCCAGGCCUGCCAAAGACUGUUGGGAUCUGCAAGAUAAAAAGCAGACCACCACACAUUGAAUUUUCUAAUCAGAUGACCAACCCUAACUUUGAUGUGGCAGGAUUGCCAUUGGAAGGAG